rnacentral:rRNA from 1 species
UUUUUCGCAAUGGGGGCAACCCUGACGAAGCAAUGCCGCGUGUGUGAAGAAGGCCUUCGGGUUGUAAAGCACUUUCAGCGGGGACGAAAAGGUACGGGCGAACAGUCCGUGCUGUUGACGUGAACCGCAGAAGAAGCACCGGCUAACUCCGUGCCAGCAGCCGCGGUAAUACGGAGGGUGCGAGCGUUAAUCGGAAUUACUGGGCGUAAAGCGCGCGUAGGCGGUCAUCUCAGUCUGCUGUGAAAGCCCCGGGCUCAACCUGGGAAUGGCAGUGGAUACUGGAUGGCUGGAGUCUGGGAGAGGGUCGUGGAAUUACACGUGUAGCGGUGAAAUGCGUAGAUAUGUGGAGGAACACCAAUGGCGAAGGCAGCGACCUGGCCCGAGACUGACGCUGAAGUGCGAAAGCGUGGGGAGCAAA